CGGGAGGCAGCAGUAGGGAAUCUUCCGCAAUGGACGAAAGUCUGACGGAGCAACGCCGCGUGAGUGAUGAAGGCUUUCGGGUCGUAAAACUCUGUUGUUAGGGAAGAACAAGUGCUAGUUGAAUAAGCUGGCACCUUGACGGUACCUAACCAGAAAGCCACGGCUAACUACGUGCCAGCAGCCGCGGUAAUACGUAGGUGGCAAGCGUUAUCCGGAAUUAUUGGGCGUAAAGCGCGCGCAGGUGGUUUCUUAAGUCUGAUGUGAAAGCCCACGGCUCAACCGUGGAGGGUCAUUGGAAACUGGGAGACUUGAGUGCAGAAGAGGAAAGUGGAAUUCCAUGUGUAGCGGUGAAAUGCGUAGAGAUAUGGAGGAACACCAGUGGCGAAGGCGACUUUCUGGUCUGUAACUGACACUGAGGCGCGAAAGCGUGGGGAGCAAACAGGAUUAGAUACCCUGGUAGUCCACGCCGUAAACGAUGGACACUAGUUGUUGGAAUUAUUCAGUGACUAAGCGAAAGUGAUAAGUGUCCCACCUGGGGAGUACGGUCGCAAGAUUGAAACUCAAAUGAAUUG
rnacentral:rRNA from 1 species